UAUGUGUUUCUAACUCCAAAUUAGUUCUCUCUCUUCCCUCAUCAUCAUUCUUCCUUUUUUUCUUCCAUCAACUUCAUUCUCCUAUUCUUUUCCCCUAAUUGUUAGAUCUCACAUAUUAACAAAGAUUGCUAUCUUGAUUUUGAUAAAAAGGAUAGCCUAUCCUUCACUUUUCUUGAUCUAUAGAUGUUUUUACAACAAAAAAAAAACAAAUGGUUUAGUUUCUGCUUUAAUUUAGUUUUCUUUUUCGAGUAAAGAGCUUCUUCACCUGCAUAGUUUCUCUCUUGUUCCCUCUUUUUUAGUUUCUCUUUAGACAAAUUCCGUGAGAAAAAUAUUUACACAUAUUCCGUGAGCCUUUUUAUCUAAAAAUAUAUUUCUUUUUCUGGCAUGAUAUGAUAUGUACUUUUGGUUUUGGAUGGGAUUGGCAGGAAGAAGGCCAUAGUUGCAUGGACAGAUAAACAGUCGUCAUUUGCGGAUGUAGCAUCAUCAAGAUUCACAUGAUGAAAGUGCAAGUGGGUUGGUUGGUUGGUUUCUGAUCUGAUCAAUGUAAAUUUAACAACUCCUUAUGUCUUUUUUUAACUGAGAAUCUUGAUGAUGCUGCAUCAGCCAUAAACGGCUUUAAAAAAUACUGUCAAAGAUCUGACCAAUGUUUAAGCAGCUGCUCUCUCACCCUUUCAACAACUUUGCUUUUUGUGCUUCUGUCAGAUCUCAAGAGAACUUCAACAAAGUCUGCAAUUUUUUGUUGUAAGGUAAGGUUUAUGAAAAACUGUCUCGAAUAAUCUACGAAGAAGGACUCGUAGUUUAACAAAGACCGAUAAUUCUCAUCAUAACACAACUUCGAUGGCAAUCUUAGUUGGUGUUAAUUUGCCUACAAAGAAAACAAAUACUGUGAGUUUGUUUUCUCUUAUUUAGUUGAAUUAACAUUAUUGGCCUGACAUGGUUUUAAAUUGCAGUUCGCAACUGAUAUGGCUGCAAUAUUGACUCAUGCAACAAUAUCGGACCAAAAUUGCAAUGUAUGUGCGAUUGCAUUAUGAACAUUACUGCUUCUGUUGUUUUUCGCCCUUCUGUUUGUUUUUUAGACCCUUAGACUUUUGCUGAGUUUGUUGCUCUUGCGCACUACUAGUACUAGUGCUCUUUGUUCUUUUUAUAACAUUUUCUUUCGCUAUUAAAAAAAAACUCUUAUAAAAAUUCAAGUUUUAGCAUCCCAAAUCUCAUUCUUCUUCGAAAAUAUAAAUUCAUAAGUAUUUAUUCACGCUGCAGCAACAACAAGUCUCAUGGCAUUGAGACUGCAAUCGUAACACCUGCAACUGUUUGUGUAAUUUAAUACUAUGUGUAAGAGCAUAAGAAGACCCUGAACUAGAACUUAUACUUAAAGUUUAAAGUAGCGACGUCAAACACAGUGUUUGAAGUUUUGUGUGAUUUUAAAGCAUUUGUCCGGUGUAGAACAAAUGGGGUACAUCUUAAAUAUCUUAAUUGUCUUUUUUUUGUUGUCUAUACAGAGAAAGUUAAAGUUAAAAGAUUUAUUGAUUGUUGUCAUCUUCUGAUUCUGAUUUUCAAAUAGCCAAAAACUUUUCUUUUCCUGUGAGAUUUGGGUUUCCCUUCACACAAGCCACAAAGUUUAUUCUCCUCAUUGCAUGAAAAAAUGCUAUUUAAUUGUAUAGUAUGACAUUAUUCAUAUCAUUACUCAGUUAAAACCAAGAUUAUACAGAAAUAACAGACAAAUGGGCAUUAAGCUGGGCUGUUACCCCUUUUUGGAUGGUAAAAUUAAUCGGCUUAAAAACUUCAUUCAUUGUUCUAGGUGAUACAACAUUACUAUGCAUGGAUCUUUACACUUUCUGUAAAAAAUCCACUGCUGCUUCUGGUGCUUGUAACAUAGCUGUAAAUGUUGCAGCAAAAUACUGAAAAAUGUGGUCCAAAUUGGGGUUUUGAAACUGUCACUGAGACCACAAAAUUCAUUGUUAUUGCAUAAGACAAUUUUAAACCAUUUUUUCGCCUUAUUUUCUUCGUUUUAUUUUAGUAUUUUUGAUCUUUCAUGUAUCAUGUCAAAAUAUAUAGAUACAUCUAUUAUAACAUAUCUUGCAUUGGUGUUAACAAGAAUACUUAUACAUUAUGUAUCAUACAAGAAUUAAUUAUACGUUUUGGAAUGGAUAAUAUUCAUAGUUGUUUUCUCAAUGCAUAUAAUAGAUUAUUGAAAACUGAAGCUGGGAACAUGGAUAUACCAAAACAAUGGACAUUGUUUUAACUUUUAAGUAGUUUCCAUGAUGAUGAAGGUUUUGGCUUUAUUAAUAAUACUGAAAACAUCCCUGCUUGGUGGACCAACAGUUCUCUUUCAAGUUGGACCCUUGUAGUGAGAUGGUGAAGUCUUCAAUCAAAUAUUUGCAGUAUUCACACUUUGCAUUUCCAAUCUUUGAUUCAAGAUAAAAGAAAACAAAUUUUAAACAAAUUCUUCACAAGCACACCGCAAUGGUUGCCUCAUGCUUCUGGCAACAUGAGAAUAUAGUCGUCUUUGAAGUUGUACAAGAUGAGCUACAACACAAAUCUCAAAUUUGCCUGGUAAACCAUACUUACAUAGCGCUAUUAAACAAAUUCUUUGCUAACACACCGCAAUGUUUGCCUCGUGCUUCUAACAAACAUGAGAACAGAAUCGUCUUUAAGACGAUAGAGUGUCAGUUUAUUUACCAACAAACCUACUUCUAUGGACUAUUAAUGCUCAAAGUUAAAUAGUAAAUCUUUCAUUUCUUUUUUCAAAAAAUUAGACUUACAUUUCUUCAUGAUUGAUGAUAGUAAUGAUUCAAUAUGUUCAAAAGAUUGAAGAUCCAAUCACAUGGAAAUAUGUGUGCCCCCAUCACUGUCCUAAUGCUACAUCAUUGAGAGGCUUGUGUACAAUCUCUGCUCAAAAUUAAUCUCCUUUUCCCUCCCCACAGCCCCCCACCCCCCGACCCAAAAAUAAUAUUGCCCUAUUUCUCCGUACAUUACAACAAGACUCAUCAUAUAUAUUGCAUGCAUUAGGCCCACUCAUAUUCAAUUACUUUUUAUUUUCUAUAUGGACUUUCAAUAUUCACAAUUACUGUCAAUAUAUAGUCAAUGGUGCUUUAAGUACUAUAGGAAAGAUUGAUGGUGAAUGUACUAUAUUGGUUAGAGAAAAUAUAGAUAGCAUUCAAUCUCCUUAAUAUGGAUCUGGUCCAAACCAUCAACCUUUAUGUCAACCCAUUAACUCCAUGUAUUUAUUCUAUAUAAUAUCCUACUAUUUUAGGUAAGUUUUUACAUCAUUUUUUCUUGUAUUUUUGACAAAAACAUCUACUGUAUAGUAGUAUAAAAGUAACAUGUUUAUGAUUUACAUACAUUUUUGUUUGUAGUUGGAGAUACAGAAGUGAGGGGGGAAAUUUAGAAUUCUCCGCACUUUAAAAAACGGUCUGAUACCAUAAAAACCGGGGACGGUUCUAAGGCCCAGCGAGCCCAGGCACGCGCCCGGGCUCAACUCCUAUUUUCUUUGUAUUCCUCCAAUUUAAUAGUCGAUUUUUAGACAAAAUUAUGAACAAAAUUAGUAAAAAUAGGAUGUGAAAAUUAAAACAGAUAAAUAAUCAAUAAUAUUAAUUUUUUGUCCAGACUGCCUAAAAUUAUUAGCUCCGCCACUAUUAAAAACAGCUACAAUAAAACAGUAUCAUAAGGUUAAGGUGUUGAUAUCUUUAUUCAUAUUUUUUAUAUUGAAAAAAAAUCACAAAUAAAAAGCCGUUAGGACCACAAAAGAAAACUUGGAGAGCAAUGAAUACCUGGGUCAUUUGUUUACUUUAAGUGUCACUUGUAGUCUUUUUAUGGUUAUAAAUAUAUUUUUAACCCUUAAAAAAGUUAUACCUAAAUGCUGUGUUUUUUGUUUUUCAAAAACUGAAAAGAGUAAUUAACGUGGCAAACCCUAAGUAUAUUGUAAGAUGAAGGAUGUAUAAGCAAAUCUCAUGAGUGCAUUGUUUAGUUUUGGUAUGGGAAAAGUAACUGAAUGGGGGAGUUAUCCAGGUAGGCACUGCUGUGUGAGGUGAUAGUAGAAUCCAUUUGAAAUAUGGCAUGUACAAAACAGCUUUAGUUUUGUGAUUUCUAUGAUUGUUCAUCCAUCCUACUAGAAGCAUGUAAUCAUUAAAACUGAGACAAUUCUGCUAGUUCAUAGAACUGUAUUUUUACUAAUUAUUAAGUUUUAGAUUUAUAAAAUAUAAUUUCUUUAAUAACAAGACAGAAAUCACAUAUUACAAUGAAUUUUUAUUACAAUAAUUGCAAAAAUUAGAAAAAACACCAGAAAUGUGGAAGAAAAAUAAAUCUGAUUAA